UGGGGAAUAUUGGACAAUGGGCGCAAGCCUGAUCCAGCCAUGCCGCGUGAGUGAUGAAGGCCCUAGGGUUGUAAAGCUCUUUCACCGGUGAAGAUAAUGACGGUAACCGGAGAAGAAGCCCCGGAUAACUUCGUGCCAGCAGCCGCGGUAAUACGAAGGGGGCUAGCGUUGUUCGGAUUUACUGGGCGUAAAGCGCACGUAGGCGGACUAUUAAGUCAGGGGUGAAAUCCCGGGGCUCAACCCCGGAACUGCCUUUGAUACUGGUAGUCUUGAGUUCGAGAGAGGUGAGUGGAAUUCCGAGUGUAGAGGUGAAAUUCGUAGAUAUUCGGAGGAACACCAGUGGCGAAGGCGGCUCACUGGCUCGAUACUGACGCUGAGGUGCGAAAGCGUGGGGAGCAAACAGG
rnacentral:rRNA from 1 species